CCUACGGGAGGCAGCAGUGAGGAAUAUUGGUCAAUGGGCGCGAGUCUGAACCAGCCAAGUAGCGUGAAGGAUGACUGCCCUAUGGGUUGUAAACUUCUUUUAUAUGGGAAUAAAACGUUCCACGUGUGGGAUUUUGUAUGUACCAUAUGAAUAAGGAUCGGCUAACUCCGUGCCAGCAGCCGCGGUAAUACGGAGGAUCCGAGCGUUAUCCGGAUUUAUUGGGUUUAAAGGGAGCGUAGGUGGAUUGUUAAGUCAGUUGUGAAAGUUUGCGGCUCAACCGUAAAAUUGCAGUUGAAACUGGCAGUCUUGAGUACAGUAGAGGUGGGCGGAAUUCGUGGUGUAGCGGUGAAAUGCUUAGAUAUCACGAAGAACUCCGAUUGCGAAGGCAGUUCACUGGACUGCAACUGACACUGAGGCUCGAAAGUGUGGGUAUCAAACAGGAUUAGAUACCCGUGUAGUC
rnacentral:rRNA from 1 species